AGAACGAACGCUGGCGGCAGGCUUAACACAUGCAAGUCGAACGCUCGUAGCAAUACGGGAGUGGCAGACGGGUGAGUAACGCGUGGGAACAUACCCUCCGGUUCGGAAUAGCUCAGGGAAACUUGGAUUAAAUACCGGAUACGGCUGAGAGGCGAAAGAUUUAUCGCCGGAGGAUUGGCCCGCGUUCGAUUAGCUUGUUGGUGAGGUAACGGCUCACCAAGGCGAUGAUCGAUAGCUGGUCUGAGAGGAUGAUCAGCCACAUUGGGACUGAGACACGGCCCAAACUCCUACGGGAGGCAGCAGUGGGGAAUAUUGGACAAUGGGCGCAAGCCUGAUCCAGCCAUGCCGCGUGAGUGAUGACGGCCUUAGGGUUGUAAAGCUCUUUCGCUCGGGACGAUAAUGACGGUACCGAGAUAAGAGCCCCGGCUAACUUCGCGCCAGCAGCCGC
rnacentral:rRNA from 1 species